AUUGAACGCUGGCGGCAGGCCCAACACAUGCAAGUCGGACGGUAGCACAGGGGAGCUUGCUCUCCGGGUGACGAGUGGCGGACGGGUGAGUAAUGUCUGGGAAACUGCCCGGUGGAGAGGGAUAACUACUGGAAACGGUAGCUAAUACCGCAUAACGUCUUCGGACCAAAGUGGGGGAUCUUCGGACCUCACGCCACCGGAUGUGCCCAGAUGGGAUUAGCUAGUAGGUGGGGUAACGGCUCACCUAGGCGACGAUCCCUAGCUGGUCUGAGAGGAUGACCAGCCACACUGGAACUGAGACACGGUCCAGACUCCUACGGGAGGCAGCAGUGGGGAAUAUUGCACAAUGGGCGCAAGCCUGAUGCAGCCAUGCCGCGUGUAUGAAGAAGGCCUUCGGGUUGUAAAGUACUUUCAGCGGGGAGGAAGGCGGUGAGGUUAAUAACCUCGCCGAUUGACGUUACCCGCAGAAGAAGCACCGGCUAACUCCGUGCCAGCCGCCGCCGUAACAC
rnacentral:rRNA from 1 species